rnacentral:rRNA from 1 species
ACUACGGGCGGCAGCAGUGAGGAAUAUUGGUCAAUGGGCGCGAGCUUGAACCAGCCAAGUAGCGUGAAGGAUGACUGCCCUACGGGUUGUAAACUUCUUUUAUAAAGGAAUAAAGUGAGGCACGUGUGCCUUUUUGUAUGUACUUUAUGAAUAAGGAUCGGCUAACUCCGUGCCAGCAGCCGCGGUAAUACGGAGGAUCCGAGGGUUAUCCGGAUUUAUUGGGUUUAAAGGGAGCGUAGAUGGGUUGUUAAGUCAGUUGUGAAAGUUGGCGGCGCAACCCUAAAAUUGCAAUUGAAACUGGCAGUCUUGAGUGCAGGAGAGGUAGGCGGAAUUCGUGGUGUAGCGGUGAAAUGCUUAGAUAUCACGCAGAACUCCGAUUGCGAAGGCAGCUUACUAGACCGCAACUGACAUUGAUGCUCGAAAGUGUGGGUAUCAAACAGGAUUAGAUACCCCAGUAGUC